rnacentral:rRNA from 1 species
AAUAUUGCACAAUGGGGGAAACCCUGAUGCAGCGACGCCGCGUGAGUGAAGAAGUAUUUCGGUAUGUAAAGCUCUAUCAGCAGGGACGAUAAUGACGGUACCUGACUAAGAAGCCCCGGCUAACUAUGUGCCAGCACCCGCGGUAAUACGUAAGGGGCAAGCGUUAUCCGGAUUUAGUGGGUGUAAAGGGAACGGAGACGGUAGGAUAAGUCAGAUGUGAAAGCCCGGGGCUCAACUCCGGGAUUGCAUUUGAAACUAUCCGACUAGAGUGCAGGAGAGGUAAGUGGAAUUCCUAGUGUAGCGGUGAAAUGCGUAGAUAUUAGGAGGAACACCAGUGGCGAAGGCGGCUUACUGGACUGUAACUGACGUUGAGGCUCGAAAGCGUAGAGAGCAAACAGG